GCGCACCAGGCGAGAAAACUUUACAAUGUGCGAAAGCACGAUAAGGGAACUCUGAGUGCCUCCUAAGGAGGCUGUUCAGGUGUCUAAAAAGCACCUGAAGGAAGGGCUGGGUAAGACCGGUGCCAGCCGCCGCGGUAAUACCGGCGGCCCGAGUGGUGGCCGCUAUUAUUGGGCCUAAAGCGUCCGUAGCCGGGCCCGUAAGUCCCUGGCGAAAUCCCACGGCUCAAACCGUGGGGCUUGCUGGGGAUACUGCGGGUCUUGGGGACCGGGAGAGGCGGGGGGUACCCCUGGGGUAGGGGUGAAAUCCUAGUAAGUCCCAGGGGGACCGCCAGUGGCGAAGGCGCCCCGCUGAACGGUCCGACGUGAGGGACGAAGGCCAGGGGAGC
rnacentral:rRNA from 1 species